UCCGGUAUGGUGUAACGGCUAACAUUGCCGCCUUUCAAGUUGAAAGACGAGAACGCGGCAGCUCGGGGUUCGAUUCCCCGUACCGGAA